CAGUACAACAACAAAAACAAGUUAGCCAAUACCCAAACAUUAUAACGGGUUUGACCACCAACUAAAAGUGCCAAACAAAAAAGAAGCGUUUCUAGCUUUCAACCAACCUAGAGACAAAUAUUUAACUUUGUCAAGCAACCUGGGUAAAGGAGUAAUAGAAUCAUUGAAACACAUAUUGUUACGUUCAGUCCAUAAAACCCAGGCACAAAGAAGCCAAAUAAGCUGGAGAAAAGACUCAGAAGCCUUAUUGCCACUUGUUGAGUGAACAAACUGAACAAAGUGAUCAGACAAAACAUUAGUGUCCACUCCAACAAAACCAAUCCAAUCACGAACCAACGACCAAAGUGAAGCAAAAUACGAACAAGAGAGAAACAAAUGUUGUGCCGAUUCCAAGGCACCGCAACCAN
rnacentral:lncRNA from 1 species